GAGGAGGAGGAGGAGGAGGGGGAUAAUAAUUAAAGGAAAAACGCGCCCCGCGCCGCCGGGCCCCUUGGCCUUUUAUGGAAGCGAAGGACGGACUCUCCACCCAAUGAUACACACAUCCCGCCAAGGCUACUGGGCUUCCUGAGAAACCGCCACGAGGAAGGAGCUGCGUGUUGGGGUCCGGCAUGGUGGUUGGAGGCAGCGGGCAGGAUGUAUCCCAUGUUGUGCCAGGUGAUGCGAAGCCAUGUCCCAACAAAGCCGUGCCCUCCCUGGUAGCCUCGAGGAUGGCUCUGCCAGCACAGAACUUUCCCCACAAAAGCUGUUCCCAUGUCCUGUGUGGGAAUGGCAAUGGGAGCUUUGCCAUUGUGGAGGCAGCAAAAUGCUCUUAAUGGAGAUGGUAAAGUUUUGCUACUUUUCUACUUCUGCUGCUAUAAUGGAGAUGCUUACAAAGGACUGGUCCUCUAUGUUCCUGUAUGCGUUUCCUGAGCUUGCCCUGGGCAGAGUAAGCCAGGUUUUACUCAUAAACAGUGCAGAGGUUUUGGGCUCAUGUGGCUGAUGGUGCAGAGGGAAAUUGGGUAAUACUGCCCUGAAUGAUAGGAGGAUGGGCAGCAGAUGACCUCCACCACCAAAUCCUCGUGGUGCCUUAAUCUCUGUCAAUAUAAUCCCCAUUUCAUCCCCCUAAACUUGGAAGCUGAAGCAUAAUUUAGGGGGUGACAGCUUGGGAGAGCAGGGGAAAGCUGGUCUGUAACAAUAAAGCUUUCACAGAUUGUA